AUUAAACCUUAAUGAAGAACAAGAAAACAACAAAUUGUUGAUGCGGACAGCAAGCGGCGAACAGUUCAUAUCAUACAAAGAAACAGUAGCUUCCACAAUGGAUCGGGACAAAGCUAGCCCGUCCCCCUCCACCCUCCAGGAGUCCCCAAGUCGACCGCCUCUCCGUACUUUACUGCUGGUUCUGGUCGACUGCAGGAAAACACCGGGGCAGAGUGGAACUGAGAGAGGAGAAGAGGAACAUGGAGAUAUGAUUUCAUUACGUAAGAACCAUGGUGUGUGGAUUAGUCUGCUUCUUUAACAAUUAAUUGGUUAAUUAUAUUGAUGAAAAUAUUUGGUAGUUCCACCCAAUUUUGAGAAGUGUAACUUGGUCCCCCCCAAAAACGUUUGAUUUCACCUAAUUUUAACUUUCUGUUAUGAAGAGCACAUGUUCGAUGUAAUAAAAACAUGUUUUCCCAUCUCAAGAGGUUAUAUGAAAGUACAUAUUGUAGUAAGUGCUAAAUAAAGUAACAGGGGACUACUGAAAACAACAAAACCACUAGUUUACAAUGGUGAAAUAGUCCUUUAAAUCAGCCACAAAUUUUCUCAUGACAGGGGUAAUGGAAGCUAGUUUUGUUCCACAGUGAGUGAAAAUUGAAUGCUAGCUCCACAAAAACAUUAUUCUACCAUACCAAUUUCUGGGUAAAAUGGUUCACUUGCUCAGUUUUCU